GGACAAGUUGGAUCUGAACUGCCUUGUCACCCAGCUGGAGGAAGAAAAGGCCAUGCUGCAGGGCCGGCAGCGGCAGGCGGAGCAGGAGGCCACAGUGGCGCCGGCAGAGCAGGAGUGGCUGGAGGAGCUGUGGUUGGAGCAGGAGGUGGCACGGCAGGGCCUGGAGGGCUCCCUAUGAGUGGCGGAGCAGGCCCAGGAGGCGCUGGAGCAACAGCUCCCCACACUGCACCAUGAGCUCAGUUGGCUGCAGGAGCAGCUAGCACAGGAGGCAGCAUGGCGGGAGCUGGAGGCCGAGCGGGCCCAGCUGCAGAGUCAGCUGCAGCGUGAGCAGGAGGAGCUGCUGGCCCGGCGGAAGGCUGAGAAGGAACAGCUGAGUGAGGAGAUUGCUGCCCUGCAGCAGGAGCAUGACGAGGGCCUCCUCCUGGCCGAGAGCGAGAAGCAGCAGGCCUUGUCUCUGAAGGAGUCUGAGAAGAUGGCGCUGUCAGAGAAGUUGAUGGGUACACGGCACAGCCUGGCCACCAUCUCCCUGGAGAUGGAGCGGCAGAAACCAGAUGCCCAGAGCCGGCAGGAGCAGGACCGGGUAGGCCUGCCGUCGUAGGGAGGCUUGCGGAGCAGGAGCGCCCUCUCUCCACCGAGCUAUCCCGCGGUUUCCAGCAUCCCAUCUGGCGGACUCCUCUUCCUCUCUCUUCUCCUACUCUGGGUCUUCUAUCCUGGUGUUCCUUGAAUGCCUAUCUUCCUUUUGUGCCUCGGAACCUCUCACGCCUGCCACAAGUUACUCUUUUCCUUGGUAGUUCUGAACUUUAAAUAAGGUAAUGCCUGUAAGAAUGCCAUAAAUGCUCAAUAAUUGUCAUCUGUUAUUAUUUUCAUCAGUAACAUCAUCUGAAUCAUCAGUAUUGUCUGCUUUUAACAGCUGCAUUUUUCAUUGUCCAAAUAUAGUCACAUACAUUUGACCAUUUUAUAAUUAUUGAAUAAUAAAUUUGUUCUGCUAUUUUACAAUGAAAAAUAAUGCUGCAGAGAGCAUUUUUGCACAUGUAUCGUGGCAGAUGUAGGCCAGAGGCUCUUCUUUUAUCCAUCCUAUGGCCAACCUAUGAAUGUAUACACGUUUAAUGAGAUUUUGCCAGCAAUCAAAGCCUUCAGGGAAAAUGUCCCUAGCUCUUUACUACAUCAGAUCAAGGACUCUGGAUAAUUGGCAUAACAUCCUGGAAUAGCUGAAACAGAGAUAUUAUUCUCUGCUCUCCUCUGUUGUCUUUGUCUUUUCACGUCUUAAUAAAAGUGCUGGUGACAAGAGUGUAACUA
ensembl:lncRNA novel transcript